rnacentral:lncRNA from 1 species
GGAUCGAUGAUGACUUCCAUAUAUACAUUCCUUGGAAAGCUGAACAAAAUGAGUGAAAACUCUAUACCGUCAUCCUCGUCGAACUGAGGUCCAGCACAUUACUCCAUCAGGGGCUAGACAGAGAGGGCCAACAUUCGUUUGUUGAUAUGGGUUGCAUCAAGGGGUCCAUCCAGGCUUAGGAUGGGGUCCCUUUGGGCAAUUGGAAGUCACAGGGAAGUGGGAGCUCCCAUGCACAGGAAAUUCCUUAUUUGAAGGACUUCUUUCUCCCUGGGCGGGAUAACUCACCUACUGUCUGAAGGACUAGGUGAAUGGCAGGUGGCAUGGAAAGAGUUUGUGGGUAGUCUGCCUCUGGUGGCCAAGUUUGUUCUUGAGUCCAAGCUCUGGAUUCCCAGAGGAAGACAGAUCCCCUGGUUGCGGGGAGAGCACAAGCCUACACUAUUCUCACUUGUUAGCUUGUUUUGUCCUUGGCGGAGGACGUUGUAUUUCCAGGCACCCAGCAUAGCCUCUUUGCCGCAUUUCCAUGUCAUAUCCCAUAUGUUAUGAGGAUUUGUGUAUUGCAUGAUCAGGCAGGCUUCUGCUCCAAGCUGGGGCUGUCAGGCAAGGAGUCUCUGGGUUAUUCCAAACCUGAUUUAGGUCAGUGGCUUCCUCUUUCAGGAUUCAUGGCCCCAAGGCUUUUGUGAGCACCAUUGCAGGUGUUGAAGCAACGAUGUUGAGAGGGAUGCCCAACAUCAGUGCUCUUUAGCAGGAUGGUGCACCUCGAGGGCCCCUGGCCCUGGGACGAGCAUCUGCGUGUCCAUGCAUUUCUGUGUCCAUGAACAGGCGAGGCCAUAGACAGGCAAAUAGCAGAUGUGUCACAGGGGACUGGAUAACAUGGCCCUCGUGACGUGUGCAACCUGUCUGCCUUUCUGAAGCACGCCUGUGUUUCCUCUGCACUUCACAGGUGGUGUUGGCAUGAAAGGCAGGCUUGUAUCAUGAGGAAUGAUUGUCAUCUUGUCUGAUUCUUGGAGAUGGCAGGAAGCCCCUGGAAACACAUGGUGUGGACUCUUUCACAGGCUGUUGAAACCCUCCUGAAUGUGAGGCCAGAGACAGGCAGACAGCAGAUGUAUUGCAGGGAGCUGGAUGACAUGGCCCUUGGAACCUGUGCACAUGCCUGCCUUUCUGAUGCACGUCCAUGUUUUCUCUGCACCUCCCCGGUGGUGUUGGUAUAAAAAGCAGGCUUACAUCAGCAAGGGAUGAUUGUCGUCUCAUGCGAUCCUGGGAGAUGGCAGAAGUCCCGGGACACAUGGAGUGUGGGCUCUUUCGGAGGCUGUUGGAUCCCUCCUGAAUGUGUUGUGGCCAUGGAAGUAAGGCCAGUGGCUACGAGGGACAGUCUUCAUCUUGGGAGAUCCCUAGAGAGGGCAGGGAGCCCCUUGACAUGUGGAAUGUGAUCUCUGUUGGGUGCUGGUGGAUCCCACAGGUGGUCUGGCAUGGAAGAAGGCCAGAGGCUGCGAUGGAUCAUCUUUGUCUUGGGAGAUUCCUGGAGAUGGUGGGGAGCCCCUGGGCACGUGCAGCAUAUGUGGCGUGGGCUUCUUCAGGUGCUGGUGGAUCCCUCAGGAUGAGAGGCGGAGGUAAACCACUGGCGCAGCCCUGCCUCCCACAGAUAAUUCCGGGUGCAGUGUUUCAUAUCUAGACUUGGACUUCUAUCCUACCAUACUUCUUUGUGUGCAGUUCAUUGUGGAACCAGCACAGAUUUUCAUACGAAAGUUAUUUCUUUUUAACCUCAAAAAGUGACAGAAUGGAGUGUAUCAUGAAAAAGUCUGACAUCAAAACCUCAAAAUGUGAUAUUGAUUGGGUGAGAUAGAAUUCCAUGGAAUUUCAUUGCCAAACCAGUGAAGUGCUAAUUUUGACAUUUGUACCAGCUAACGUAGCUGUGAAGAAACACACCAAUACACUUCUAAGGACAGCAUAGACCAAGAUCUAGGUUUCAUAUGGAUGAAUUUAUUCUUCCCUUUGAGGCAAGACAAGAAGGAAAGAAAGUAUUGGGAAUAAUGCUGCCCUCCCAUCCUCAAGGGCCAGUGGGAACUCUAAUAUUGAUUGGUUUUCACAGAAUUCCAUGGACUUUAACUGCUGAACCAAUGAUGCACUGAUUUUGUCACUUGUACCAGCUAACGCAUCUGGGAGGCAACAAAACAAUACUCUCCUGAGGUUAAUGUGGACCAAAAACUAGAUUUCAUAUAAAAGAGUUUAUUCCUUCUACUUGAGGUGUGACAUGAAGGAAAGUAAUGGAAAUAAUUCUGCCCUCCCAUUCUCAAGGGCCAGGGGGAAUUCAAAUAUUGAACGGAAGUGAUUUUGGAAUUGCAUGGAAUUCUCACUGCCAUCCCAAAGAAAUGCUGAUCUUGUCACUCUUACCUGUUUCAUUCCCUGGGGGCAGAACAAAAGGACGCACUCCAAAGAUCGGCAUGAACCAAGAACUGGGUUUCAUAUAAAAUAUUUUAUUCUGUCCUCUUGAGAUGUGACAUGAGAAAAGUAUUGAGAAUACUUCUAUCACCUCAUCUUCAAGAAUCCGUAGGAAUUCUCCCAUGGUGGACUUUACGGUUAACCUGAACAGGUCUUGGAAAAAGGACUUUAAACAUUCUCCUGUUCUGUGGAAUAAGUAUACUUUUUUCUGGACAUACACCUUGUCAGUGAGUUCCAUGUGAUACUAGAGUUGCAUAGAUUUUUAACCUUUACGCCAAUGAAGAUCUGAGGCAAACAUUGCCCCUUUUUUAGAAGUUUGCAUUUGUCACUGAUAACUGUAAUAAUUGAUCUUGUUGAAAAGCCUGGGAAAUGAAGAUCUGAUAUGUCACUUUUACCGGCUUCCUCAACUGAAAAAGAAUACAAUGAAACACGCUGAGAAUUUUUGUGCUUUCUCAGUCUUGCUGAUGAUCUUUCUAUGGGCCUGAAGCGUGGAGAGUGCCAGAGAGGCUGAUCCUCAGCAGUGUGGCAGAGGAAAGUUGGGUGCGACUAAGGGGUAUGCGGUGCCCACAUGCCACUGGGUCCUCAGCAGUACCACCUGAUUGGAAGUGAUAUUGGUGGAAGACAACAUUUUGCCGCUUGGAAUUCUCACCUCCACACCAAAGAAGUACUGUUUUUGUCAUUUGCACCAGCUUCUUUCUCCAGGAAAGAUCAAAACGAUGCACUGCAAGUGUGAUUGGUCCAGAUAGCUGCCUUAUCCAACUGCCUCCUUUGGACCACUUCAUCAUGGGACAGCUUGAUGCAAUCUACUUGACAAGACCCUGGAACCCCACACCCCUCAUGGAACCAGUGUCCACCUCCCAGUCACAGUGUGACCCCAGGGAACUCUUGCCUGCUUGCUUUAAACCCACCACUUAAAAGUCUCCACAGAAAACCUGUUUGAAUAGUACCCUUGACCCAAUAAGGGCAUUGGCCCCUGGGUGUCUCUCUCUCUCUCUCUCUCUCUCUCUCCCUCUCUCUCCCUCUCUCUCUCUCGCUCCCUGACCUCUGCGUGUGGACUCCAGGCAUGCCAUAUACCCCUCAGGACCUGAAGCAAAAGAAUGAAUUAAAGAAAACUCCAGAGAAUGAGCUGACAACCUACUCCCUGGUCAGUGGCUCUCCAUGCCUACCUGUGGUCUCUUGGACACCCUUGCAGAAGAUGACUUCCUGGGAACUCUUCUGGGAGUGAAUGUUAUCAGCAAAUUCCCAAAACAACACCCCUUAGACAAAAAGCCUCCUCACCUAUGCAUUGCCUAGACCACCCACUAAAGGUGAUGGCCACAAAGAGGUGGAUUUGUUGAGUUGGUGCCAUUCCUUCUACUGCCAGCUUCACCAAAACAAUGACACAGUCUUCCUUCCGCAUGGAGACUCUUCUCUUUCCUGUGUUGCAGUGGAUGCCUCCUGCAGAUAAGAAAUGCUUAACUGAGAAAUGCUCAUGUUGGGAUAUCAUCGAUGAGACUUUAAUUUGGGCAUGGUGACUGUUUCCCUUGCUGCCACUUGACUCAAUCCCAGGAGCCUCAGUAGAGGAUAUAAUAUUACACAAGAUGCUCAAAAUGGUGGAAUUGCUCAGUGCUCCCAUAAAUAUACAUUUAUAAUUUUCAUUUGCCACAUGGUAAACUGAAAAAUACAGACUAUAUUAAAAAGAAACUGCAUGAUUUUUUUUCAAAAAUUCAAAGCAUAUUUAAAUAAUAUAUAAAUUAAAUGCCCUCCUCUCUUCCAAUUCUGUCCCUAUAGUUUUCCUCUAUUAAGUGAACUACAUGCAUUCUUUUAGUGGAUAGAUGCACACAAACACACAAGCCAUUAUGGGGAAGGAUCCACGUGUGUGGCCAUAUUGUAACACAUUUUUCUGCAAAUCACCUCUUUCAUUUAACAGCCCUUAUUCAAUGGCCUUUUUCUUUUUCAGUAGUACAUACACAUCUGUGUCAUUUGUUGAAUGACGACAUGAAUGUUUUGUAGAUAAAAUAUAAUUAAAUGUUUUAAGCAUUUCUCACUCAUAGAUAUUUAUGUUAGCACCAAAUUUCUGUGCAAUGAACCUCCCUAUAUAUCAGUAAUUUUGCAUUUGUCUAUAAUAUCAUAAUAAAUUACUUAUCAGUUGAAUUACUGGGAUUAAGUAUGUGCACACUUUAUAUUUAUAUUUUGAAAAUUAUUGCAAGAUUGCCUUCAAAAAUGUGGUUAACAACUUUAUCUUCAAAUGGCAAUGAAUGAGAUUGCCAGCUUUCCUACAGCCUCACAGACAAUGGAUUUUAUAAAUAUUUAACAUUUUUGCCAAUGUGAUCACCCAAACUAUUGUCUUAAAUUGUAUCUCUUUUGUUUUUGAGUUUGGUCAUUUUUUCAUGUUUAUUAGCCAUCUGUAUUUUUUAAUUUCUUCUUUAUGUCCAAUUUUGUGGGUGGGAGGAGGAUUUAGUCUCUUCCUGAUUUCGAAGAGCUCAUUUACUAUUUCGGGAAAUAAGAUUUGGAUUGUCAACCAUUAUAGCUAUUUUUUACACACUUUUCAACUUUGUUUUUGUUAUAAGAAUGUGUAUGAUUGUUACAUGUCCAAGUAUAACCAUGUUCGCUUUUAUGGCUUCUGAGUUUCAUGUCAUUUUUGGAAAGAUAUAUAUAUUGAGUCCAUAAAACCCUUCACCUAUGUUAAAUUCUAAUUCUUUUGUGUUUUUUUAAUUCAAAUUCUUAAAUCAUGAGAAAUUUUUUUGUUUUGAAAUCUUAAAGUUGCCAAGUUACUUGCCAUUACUUGCGAUUAUUUGCCAAUAAUUGCCCAUUUAUCUGUACCGCCAUCUUGCGCAUAUGCUGUACUCUCAUCUGUGACUGGCUCCAUUUUUGUUCUGUGGAUUUGUGUGUCUCUUCUUCUGCCUCCUGUCUCGUGUCUGCUCGUUGGAAGAAAUUACAGUUUAGACUGCAAUUUCAUCAACUUUAAUAAAUCAAUUGAGGGGAGAAUUGGUUUUUAAAAAUAUUAAGUAAGUCUUCGUAUCCAAGGACAAGGUAUGUCUUUUCUUAUUCAAUAAUUUUAAUUACUGUUAAUAUUUUCACUGUGGUGAUGGGAGUUUUUCUUUUAAUUUAUUUUCUUGUUCAUUUUUUGUAUCUAAAGUUUUUGUUUUGUUUUGUUUUGGGGGUAAGUUGUCACCUUACUGUUUCUUGUUGCUUUUCAGAUUUUUUCAAAGUAUAGACUAAAUCCUUCACAAAUAUUUAAAGUUUUUAUUUUCCCCCUUCAUAUUGAUCCUGAUUUUAGUUAUGUUGACAAAGUCCACAGACUGUUACUAUCAGAACACUUGAACAGUUAUGGAAAUAUUACCUACCCUUGAUUUAAUCAGAGUUUAAUGGUAUGCUUCUUUGGUUUGACUGGCACAUUGUCGCUGGUCAUUUCCUCCCAAAGACCACCAGAAAGAGCUAUGAUCAAGCAAAGCUGAGUUUGUUAAACUUACCUGCAGCAAGGGAAAACACCACCUUGAUAGGGUUUAAUAAUGUUUCAAAAUCAAGAAAUGAGGCUUUGGGGUCUGGGCAGGGAACUAAUUAGAAAUGGGCAAAAUUUGUCAUGCAAUACCUUGUGGGAAAGUGAGAUGAGGUUCUUAAUGUGAGUAUUGAUGGUGAAAUCAUUUUCUAGGUGAGCUGUUUGCCUAUAUAAAGAUGUUAUCAAUGACAGAAGAACUAUUUGCCUAGAUAAACAAACUGAAUUUAUUUAUUGGUUUACAGUUUUAUCUUGCUGGGCAGGACUCUGCUGGGGGUGGUAUCAGGUCUUAUUCCCAAUAGGUAAGUUAUUUGGAUAUGGGUGGUCUUAAUCAUCAAUGUGUAAAAUGCUGAUUUUAAGUGCGAAAUACUUUGUCUACCAUGUUAGGAAAGUCUGCCACCUUUUAUCUUUUUUAAGGAAUUUUAAUCAAAACCAGGUGGUAGAUAUAAUCAAAUUGUUUUGCAGAAUCAAUUUUCCUGUUCUCUUUAAAGACUUUUAUCACUGUGAAUUAAUUUACUAUUAUUGCAACUUCCUUUAAUUCCUUGAAUGAACAGACCCUACUGGUUUUAAAAAUGUUUUAUUCUUUUAAUUUACUACUUAAUUGUGGGUAUUUUAAUUUGAUUUGGAAUUUUUACAAGUAUACAACUAAGUGAAAUUGAUCUGUGAUUUUUCUUUUUUGUGCUAUUUUUGUCAUGUUUUGAUAUCAGAUAUUCUGGUUGUGUUAAAAUAAUUUUGAGGAUUUUCUUCUUAUACUGUGUUCUAGAGUGGGUAAAAAAGCCCUAGUCUCACUAUCAGUGUUUAAGUGAACACAUCAGUGACAUCAUCUGGACUCUCCUUUGUUUUUGCUGGUUUGGAGUUAGGACAUCUAGAAGUUUUUUUCUUUUUUUCCUUUUUUUGUAUGGUUAUUGCUUGUUCUUUGUUUUGUGUCAAAUUUAACCUGUUUUCUCUUAGCAAAUCACAGCUCAUGCAGAUUUUCAAACACAUUAGCCUUGUUAUACAAAGUGUUCUUUCAUCAUUCUAUUAAAUUUCCAUUUUCAUUCCAGUUAUAGUUAUUUCUGCUGUGCCUUUGUUAAUGAAUAAGUUUAAACAGUGGAUGUUUAGCAUCACUAGCCUUCCCCUUCCAUCUCCCUUAAUCAGGACCUUGGUAUAAUUUAUCAGGUAUUUUUUAAGGUUCUAAUUUACUUAUAUAUAUUGUUUCUGUAUUCUUUUGUUUCUUUUCUUAAUAAAUUCUUAAA